rnacentral:tRNA from 1 species
CGGCGUAGCUCAGUGGUUAGAGCAGGGCCUUCAUAAGGCCAAGGUCGCAGGUUCGAAUCCCGCCGUCGGC